GAUGAAGAACGUAGCGAAAUGCGAUAAGUAGUGUGAAUUGCAGAAUUCAGUGAAUCAUCGAAUCUUUGAACGCACAUUGCGCCCUUUGGUAUUCCUUAGGGCAUGCCUGUUCGAGCGUCAUUUAAACCUUCAAGCUCAGCUUGGUGAUGGGCGACUGUCCCCCCCCCCCUCGCGGGGGGGACUCGCCUCAAAAACAUUGGCGGCCGGUACAUUGGCUUCGAGCGCAGCAGAAACGCGGUCUCGAGCCCGGUGGAUCGGCUCCCAUAAGCCUAUUCUUUUAUUUUGACCUCGGAUCAGGUAGGGAUACCCGCUGAACUUAAGCAUAUCAAUAAGCGGAGGA
rnacentral:misc_RNA from 1 species